rnacentral:snRNA from 1 species
AUCUUUAUGCAGGGGCAUUACGUGUAUCAGUGAGGAUUCGUCCGAGAUCAUGUUUUUGCUAGUUGAAAACUAACCUGACAACUCUUUGAUAUGUGGUAGCCCCGAGUUACUGAUGUCAAGGGAAUUUUUGGACACCUUUUUU